AGACAGGCACAUGCUCAUUAAAUGUGUCUUCACUGAUGACCAUUCACAUAAAUUUUCAGGGGAGAGGCCAAGAUUUAGUACCUUGGGAACAGAGCUCCUUGGGCCUCAAGCUGAUCCUUGUACACCCUGAGAGCUCACCACCUUGCUUUAAUUCACUAAUGCAAAGCCAGUCCUACGGUUUGAAAUUAGAUGCAACUUCCCCUCAGGAAACAUGAUAGCUUCCUCUACGGCCAGAGACAAGGUCCCCCCACAGAGGGUGCCACUGAAAUAAAAAUGCAUUAAUUCAUUCUUAUAAUGAAAUGCUCCAAGAGUGCUUAUUUCCUGUUUCCUGGGGCCUAAACAACACAAGAGAUUUUAUCUGAUGUUUGCAGUGCUGCUCCGAUCGAGCCACUGCAGGCUAUAUAUACCCAUGCAGUCGAGAAACAUGAAAACAGAAGCGCCAGUCCUGGUUGGUUUGUUUUUAGCAGUGGUUUCCUCUAGGGAAUGAGGCCAGGGGUUGGAGGAAAGGGACUUUUAUUCAUCUACGUAUUUUAUUUAUUUGGAUCUCUAUUUUUAAUAUUUUUCUGUAUCUUCUGAAGAUCACUUUUACUGGCUGGGAGUUCCCGUCGUGGCUCAGUGGUAAUGAACCCGACUAGAACCAUGAGGUCGCGGGUUCGGUCCCUGCCCUUGCUCAGUGGGUUAACGAUCCGGUGUUGCCGUGAGCUGUGGUGUAGGUUGCAGACGCGGCUCGGAUCCCACGUUGCUGUGGCUCUGGCGUAGGCCGGUGGCUACAGCUCCGAUUAGACCCCUAGCCUGGGAACCUCCAUAUGCCGCGGGAGCGGCCCAAGAAAUAGCAGCAACAACAACAACAAAAGACAAAAAGACAAAAAAAAUAAAUAAAAAUAAAUAAAUAAAAAUAAAUAAAGCUGGCAAAAAAAAAAAAAAAUCAGUUUAAGACACAAGGCACAUGUGGAACUGUUUCUAGAACCUCUUUAGAAAGCCAUUCUCUUUACAAGCAGGUUUAGCCCUUUGGGAGAGAAAUCUGGCACUAAAUAACAAAAGUCUCAAAUUCUCUAAUUCUGUUGGUAGGAAUGCUAAGUAAAUAAUCCUAAUUACCCCAAAAAACAAGUGCACAAAAAAAUCUUUUUUUACCACAGCAUCAUUUAUAAACAGUGAAAGCCUGCAAAUACCAUAAAGGAAAAUCCGACCACACAGGGAAAUGACAGUACAGAGUGGCGUGUACGUUGUCAUCAGAAACACGCCUGUGAAUUAACUUUUUUAGUGAGGAAUGCUUUGUUAUGUUUGAGAAAAAAGUGAGCGAACCAUCCAGCACGUGCAAUGGCCUCACCACUCAGCAAAAGCAUGCAGAGAGACUUAAAAUGUUGACAGUGGUUGUCUUCAAAUAGUGCGAGUACAAGGGGUUUUUCUUUCUACUCUUUGCUCUUUUCUGCAAAGAUGUUUACAGCUUAUAUAUUACCUUAAUAGUGAAAAAUGAAACUAUUUAAAAAGAAAAUAAAGCUGCUCUAUUUCGAGAUGUUGGCCAGUGUUCCAGGGGGUCUGCAUGAAGCCAGUGGCUGCUGGGCAGUGCAGAGGGAACUCAAACUCCAGGAACAGGGAUCUCUUGGCCUCGAAACCCAGCUCUGCCCUCUGCAGG
rnacentral:lncRNA from 1 species